GAUGAACGCUGGCGGUCUGCUUAACACAUGCAAGUCGAACGGGCUCUUCGGAGCUAGUGGCGGACGGGUGAGUAACGCGUGAGAAUCUGCCUUCAGGAGGGGGAUAACGACUGGAAACGGUCGCUAAUACCCCAUAUGCCUCCGGGUGAAAAGUAAUUCGCCUGAAGAUGAGCUCGCGUCAGAUUAGCUAGUUGGUGGGGUAAGAGCCUACCAAGGCGACGAUCUGUAGCUGGUCUGAGAGGAUGAUCAGCCACACUGGGACUGAGACACGGCCCAGACUCCUACGGGAGGCAGCAGUGGGGAAUUUUCCGCAAUGGGCGCAAGCCUGACGGAGCAAGACCGCGUGGGGGAUGACGGCCUAAUGGUUGUAAACCCCUUUUCUCUGGGAAGAAGACUGACGGUACCAGAGGAAUAAGCCUCGGUUAACUCCGUGCCAGCAGCCGCGGUAAUACGGAGGUGGCAAGCGUUAUCCGGAAUUAUUGGGCGUAAAGCGUCCGUAGGUGGUUAUUCAAGUCUGCUGUCAAAGCGUGGGGCUUAACUCCAUAGAGGCAGUGGAAACUGAGUGACUAGAGUGCGGUAGGGNUCGAGGGAAUUCCCAGUGUAGCGGUGAAAUGCGUAGAUAUUGGGAAGAACACCAGUGGCGAAAGCGCUCGACUGGGCCUGCACUGACACUGAGGGACGAAAGCUAGGGGAGCGAAAGGGAUUAGAUACNCCUGUAGUCCUAGCCGUAAACGAUGGAUACUAGGUGUUGCUCGUCAUCGACCCGAGCAGUGCCGUAGCCAACGCG
rnacentral:rRNA from 1 species